UUCAGGCAUCUGAUUAGGAUACUCCCUGGGCGCCUUCCGUUCUGGAGGUGUACCGGGAGACACCGGGGCAGCAGACCCAGAACCCGCUGGAGGGACUACAUAGCCCAUCUAGCCUGGGAGCGCCUCGGGUUUCUCCAGAAGGAGCUGGAAUGUGUUGCUGCGUGUGGAGAAUGACGUGUGGAGCGCAUCUGCCACCGCGACUCGACCCCGGAUAAGCGGAGGAGCUCCACCUGUAGGAAACACACCUCACCAUGGCAUGUUGUGGUACUCUCUCCCACAGGGGUACGGGGCCUGAGAGAGGACUGUGAGGUUGAAACAAAGUAUGCGACGGCUGGAGACACAAUCAGUUUCCAGACUGGACUCACGGAAUUAGCUGGAAACCACAUACUAUGGUUUUUGAAGACCAACAUGGAGACUCUCAUCUACCUCAGCAGGGGGGAGAUAAUGCGAGCCCCCCCAGAAAGAUUUAAAGAAAGACUCCAUCUGAAUAGAACAACUGGAUCUCUGACCAUCCAGAAUCUCAGCAUCAACGACACUGGGAUCUACUGGGGAGAGAUGUUCAGAAACAACAUGAAGAUAUGUUAUGAAGUCAGUCUAACUGUUCAGAAGGCUGCUGUACCUGGACGUAACGCUGCUGCUGGACGUAAUGCUGCUGCUGACCACAGGAACAAUCACCUGGCAGUUGCCUCUGCUCUUGCUGUCUUCCUUGUGCUGUUUGUUUGAGCAGAACAUCUGGAGGACACUGGUACCCAUGUGUCUACUGAAGUAACUUACCAGCUGGAUUUAAUGCCAUCCCACCAAAGUGCUGCUGAAAACAGAUUAAGACCACUGGACGAAAAAGGACCAAAUAUGAGCCACAAAGAGGAAGGGACCAUGUCUACAAAUGGCUUCUGUCAUUCGUCUUAAGUCUUCUUUCUAAAAUAUGAUACUUGAUGACCCCUCGGGGUCAGUAUACACACUGUUCCAACGUUGCCUUCAAAAUCAUUCUACUGUAUUUAAUAUCAGCAGCUUGUGCUCAUAUUUAUUCUGUUACUGUUACACAUGCACUCCAGUAGCUUUAACAAAGUAAGUUAUUAAUAGAACAAUUUAUUGGUUUGUGGAGAUACAGGGGGGAAAUCUCUCACCAGUGUUUUGCUCAAUUUAGAAUUUUUUGAUCUAGAUGCAAUAAAUGCUUUUAAAACACGAA